rnacentral:rRNA from 1 species
UACAGAGGUCUCAAGCGUUGUUCGGAUUCAUUGGGCGUAAAGGGUGCGUAGGCGGCGCGGUAAGUCGGGUGUGAAAUCUCGGAGCUUAACUCCGAAACUGCAUUCGAUACUGCCGUGCUUGAGGACUGGAGAGGAGACUGGAAUUUACGGUGUAGCGGUGGAAUGCGCAGAUAUCAGGAAGAACACCAACGGCGAAGGCAGCUCGCUGGGACGGAACUGACGCUGAGGCGCGAAAGCGUGGGGAGCGAACAGG